rnacentral:rRNA from 1 species
AGAGUUUGAUCAUGGCUCAGAAUCAACGCUGGCGGCGUGCCUAACACAUGCAAGUCGAACGAGAAAGUGGAGCAAUCCAUGAGUAAAGUGGCGACCGGGUGAGUAACACGUGACUAACCUACCCUGAAGUGGGGAAUAACCUCGGGAAACCGGGGCUAAUACCGCAUAACAUCGCGAGCUGUAAACGCUUGUGAUCAAAGGAGCAAUUCGCUUUAGGAGGGGGUCGCGGCUGAUUAGCUAGUUGGUGAGGUAACGGCUCACCAAGGCAAAGAUCAGUAUCCGGCCUGAGAGGGCGCACGGACACACUGGAACUGAAACACGGUCCAGACUCCUACGGGAGGCAGCAGUGGGGAAUUUUGCGCAAUGGGGGAAACCCUGACGCAGCAACGCCGCGUGGAGGAUGAAGUCCCUUGGGAUGUAAACUCCUUUCGAUCGGGACGAUUAUGACGGUACCGGAAGAAGAAGCACCGGCUAACUCUGUGCCAGCAGCCGCGGUAAUACAGAGGGUGCAAGCGUUGUUCGGAAUUAUUGGGCGUAAAGGGCGCGUAGGCGGUGCUGUAAGUCUGUGGUGAAAUCUCUGGGCUCAACUCAGAGUCUGCCAUAGAAACUGCAGUGCUGGAGUGUGGGAGAGGUGAGUGGAAUUCCCGGUGUAGCGGUGAAAUGCGUAGAUAUGACAUAGAACACCAAUUGCGAAGGCAGCUCGCUACACGGUUAUUGACGCUGAGGCACGAAAGCGUGGGGAUCAAACAGGAUUAGAUACCCUAGUAGUCC